rnacentral:lncRNA from 1 species
AGGCUCGCCCAGGCCCGGCCGCCGGCCCGCGCGCACCUGCAGACGCUGCACGUCUUAAGUUUCGAGUGAUUUGGGGAAGGAAAGAGGACCGAGAAGAAAAGAAAAGGGCUCGGGGGGGGGGGGGGGUGGGCGGGUGAGGGGCGGAGGAGAGGACGAAGGAAAAAAGCCGGGAGAGGGAGAAGAAAGAAAUCUUCCUUUUGCAAAAGGAGGCAUAAUGUGGCUUAGAGGUUGCCAAAGCAAAAGGUUUUGCUUUAUUUUGUUUUUGCAACCGAGGCGUUCAGGGUGGGGCUGGCGCGAGGGAAGGGUGGAUGGGGAGAAGGUCACUGUCUUAGCACAUGGCGAGAUUUAUUUACUCCUUUGGAUUAUUUCGGUUUCUCGCCGAAUGGCUUUGAUCCUGGAUUCCUAAAAAUACCUUUGAAAGAUUGAAAGACUCGCCCCGCCCCCCCAACCUCCACACCGUCUUACUGCCUAACUCCUCGGAACCCUCGGAGGUUGCGCAUAAACAAUUUUUUCUUCCAGAACGGCCCCCCUCUCCGCCCUGGGGGAGCCGGGAGGAUGUGCAGCCCCAGUCCUCCUGCUCGGCGGAGCCUCGCGCGCGCAGAGCCUAGCGCGAUUCGCGCCCUCAUUACUACUACAAAGCGCGGGCCAGACCAAUCCCCUUUCUAAUGCACCAUUUUCGACUGAGAACAUCAAGAGGCCAGAAACUUCCAAGUCAGCUUGCAGACGCAGACGCCUCCUGGGGUCCUGGCUUUAAGAACCAGAUGCCAACACUCCCGGACAGUUUAUGGCAUCCGGAUCCCUCAAGGGUGCUCAUCUGCAGUUGAGAGUCUAAUAAAUGGCAUUAACAAAGCGUUUCAGCGACUACCACGGCUUCACAGUGGCUCCUCCCCUGCCCUGCCACCAUUCAGGCUGUAAUUCCUUCCAGGAUUCCCGCACCAUCCUGUGUGCCCAGAGCUCUCUAGAGCACCAGGUAGAACUCCGUGCUAAAUCCAAUUGCUUGCAAUCUUCUGAUCCCCUUUUAGGGAGAUCACUUUUCAGCUUGGUUCAAAGAAAGCAAAGUUUGGGAAGUUUGGCGGAGGGGCCGACUUAACUACGGGCACUGCAAAUAUUUUGUUACAAAUGCUGUGAAGUGCCCCGAUUUGUGGCUGCGUUAGCUUUCACAAAGGAUUUUCCUGUGUCUUUUGUUCCGAUCACCAAAUUAAAAGAGAAAAUUAACUUGAGUGAGAGAUAAGGUCUUGGAAAACAAUCUUGGGCCGCCCGCGAGCUGGCGGGAGCGGGGCUGGCGUCGCCUUGUCUGCGCCGCCCCGAGGCGCGAGUCUUGGGGUCCGGCCACCGCAGGGAGCCUAGGUCAUGCAGGGACCCCCCCCUCCAUCCGCUGUGCACCCUCGCGCCACAGCGCAGCACCCAGGCCACCCCCCCUCUGCCCACCAGCGUCCGUGGGAAUCCGCCCCAGCCAGCGACAAGGACGGACUUGUCCGGAAUCAAACUGCAUCUUAAUAUUAUAAUGCGGCACCAAAAGCAAAACCCGAGGCCCCGGCUUGCAGUCCCUAACAAGAAACACAUUGUGUGCACUUUUUCUUUUUUGGCUCAAGCCACGUUCGCGCGCCGGCCCCUCCGCAGCGAGCCAAGUCCAUGACUUCAGUGAGGAGGAACCCGCCUGCCUCGCACCACGUGCGCUCCCAGCUGGGGCAGCCGCCCUGUGAGCCCUGUCCCGGUCCCUGGGACGGGCUAGGGCCUGGCCGGGACGCGCUUGUCCUGGGCACAGGACAAGGGCUUUGGGGCACAGCCCUUUCUCGGCCGGGGAGGCAGGCGAACCGAUCGCCCGGGCACUGGUGUUACCCAGGCGGCGCCAGCGCGAGUUGGCUGGUGGACAGGUUUUUCAAUAGUUUGAACUCCUUCUUCCCCUUGCCGCAUCUUUAAGGCGUUUACUCCCAGAUUCAGCCCUCUCCUCAUAAUAAUGACAGUUUGCAGACUUUUCCUUUCCAGUUAGAGUGCGUGCGCGGGUCCUGCAAGAUCCCAGCCGCGCGUCACCGCGAACCAUUCUGCGGGAGGGGCAGGACCUAAGGCUGCAUCUCCAGGAGGGAACGUGGAGACACCGCGGGCGGAGGGGACCUGGAGGAGUUCCUGGAGGAGCAGUCCUAGGCACGGGGCGAAGGAUUUGCGCUCUAGCUGGUGGAGCGCACAUCGCCCUGGUUAGCUCUGCGGAUUCUGUGUGAAGAAUACAGAGACAGACGUUCCAUUUCAAAGAAAAAAGAGCAACACGAAGGCCCUCUUUAAGGAGAGAGUAAACAUUCACUUUAGGUAAAAAAUAGUCUUUUACACGCCUGUGCACGGCACACCUCUUUUGCUGUUCACCUUGAGCCCAAGAGUUUGGAAAGGCUGCCCCCAUUUCAGAGAGGAAGAAACGCAGGCACACGUGAAUGACAGACUCCUCUGUGGUGGCCUAGACUCCAGCCAACACUUCCUAGGACAGCCUGCCAUUGUGCAAAGUCACCAUGUAACAAAUGCAGACAUCUCUGAGAUCACCAUGCAGUGAGGAAGUCUAAGCUGGUGGCAUGAAGAGGCCACAUGGAAAGGGCUAAAAAAGGGGCCAGCCUCAGUCAUCCCAGCUGAGCACCUGGCUGGGAAUAAAAGAGGACUCCGUGGAUGUCCAGCCCAGUAAGAUGACCUCAGCCCCAGCCACCAACUGACCAAGCACACAAGACAUCGUGAGGCUGCCUGCUGGAGCCUGGCCAGUGGGACUGUAGAGUAACUCAUUGUCGUGCAGGAACUCCUGGGAUGGUGUUGCCCAGUGACACAAUCCCAGUGUGGCCAUUUCUGAUCCCGAGAAAGCAGUCAGGAGUGGGUGGAUGCAGUUACAGUUCAUCAAGUCCUGCUAGUUCAAGUCAUGAGUCCUGAAUUCUCCAGGAGGAGCCACUAAAGAAAUGCAGAAGCAGGCAAUCCUUGCAAUAAGGCCAGCAAACUGCCAGUGUGAAGGAUGCCCAGGUAACCUGCCCAUGCCAGAACGGCCAGGAGAUGGUGGAACCAGAAUCUAAGCCCACGCCCAUCUGACCUCAAAGUCUGUGCUCCUGAGGUUCGCACCGAGUUGCCUCCUAAGACUUGCUGAAACUGGAUCACGUCCAUUUACCCAUCUCUGAGAGAAAUGCAAGCUUUAAAAAAGGAAAUAUUUACUAUGGAUAUUUUACAAUAGUUCCAAAACAUGAAAGUUUUAAAUAAGAUAUUCUUAACCAUCCUCACCACAUCUUCAGGUUCCCUUACAGCCACUGUGUUUUGACGAUUGCCCAUUAGAAAAAAAGACUAUGCUUUCUGUAGGUUUUAAAGGAAUGGUGGUGAAAUAAGGAGCAUUCCCUGAGCAGAUCUUGCCUGCGGGCACACCUCUGAGCAUUGGACCAGGCGAGAAGAGCCCAUGUGUUGGCUGCUUUGGGAUCCCAGCACUGCCAAUGGCAGGUGGGCUGUGGCCCAGGGAGAGAACCUAGCCUUUUGCAUUCUCUUGCCCCAUUUGAAAAUGGAGACGAUAGUGGCGCCCCGCUCAGUGUUAUUUUGAGGAUUUGAAUGUAUCUCAGAUGUAGUACCUGGAAAAAUAUAAGUGCUCAGUAAAUACGGUUGCCAGAUAAAAUGCAGGAAACCUAUUUAAAUUUAAGUUUUGGCUGGACAAUGAAUAGAAUAAUUUUUCUUAGUAUGAGUAUGUCCUUAUAUUUCAUCUGCUAAAUUUAGCAACCUCCUCAGUAAACGAUCACUACAAUUGCAGAAACGCCUUAUGACAGAUAUAGUAAAUCUGUAAAGAAAUAGGAACUUGCAUUUAUUUUUACUAAGCUCUGACUGGUUAAGAUAACUGGGCAAGAGAAGAUAUCUUCGACUAAACUUGCAGCACAUAGAGUAUAGAGAUUCAAAUUUGAAGUCCUAUAGGACUAGAAUGGCCAGAGGUGAACUGUAGCGAGCUUAUCUAAAGAGGACCAAUUUCAAAAGUUCCUCAGAGACUUAAAUGGGCCCACAGACCCCUCCUGUGUCUUUGCAUAAGCCAGCUCGUUAUAUCAGUUAUAAGUUGAUUUCCAGAGAAAUGUACCCUGGAGAUCCCUCUCCCACUUGAAAUAGGACUGGCCAAUCCAGAUGUCCCCCAGGUGAUGUUGGCUCAAAUGGAGCUCCAUAUAUUGGAGAAUCUAUUCAAGAAAACAAGCAAAAGUAUUUGUGACUGAGUUAGCUAAUGCCAGCUGGUAUCUUGAACAAACCCAGAUCUCUAACAUGCUAGUUUAUUUCGUAGUGUAAAAUGUGUGUUACUGAUGGGCAGACAGCUCUCAUUCAAGCAGUGACAGAUGUAAGCUCUUCCCAUUUUUGUGGCCCCAUUGUAUUCGGCGUGUGGCUUCCAAGUUGCCUGGGAUCAUCUCCACCCAGACUAAGGAAGAGGAAAGAGCUUGGACAACUGCACUUGGCUGGUUUUUAUGGAUCAGGCAAGGAAUUGGCUCCAACACAUUAGCUCACAUUCCAUUGGUUAGAACUGGGUUUCUCAACUAUUAGUACAGGGUGAGUGUAGGGUUUUGGCACCAUGGGCAUUUGAGCUGGCCAAAGGCUAAUCAGAGUUAGAACAAAGCCACAAAGCCUGUGAAUGGUGUUUAUUGUUGUGAGGAGCUGUCUUGUGCAUUGUGGAAUGUUCAGCAGGAUGCUCUCUGGCCUCAGAGACUCACUAGAUUCCCAUAGAACUCUCCUCUCUCCUCUAGUUGUGACAACCACAGUUGCCUCCUCUCCAGACAUUGCUAGAUGUCCCCGGGAGGCAAAAUUGUCCUGGUUGAGAACCACUGUGUUAGAACUCGGUCACAUGGCCAUACCUAACUGCAAGGGAGGGGGCUGGAAGAUCUAGACGAGUAGUAUGCCAGGAAGAAAAUAGAACUGAUUUAGAGGCUGCUGGCCAGUCACUUUCAGUGACCUUCAGCAUACUUAUUCCUCUGCAGCUGUCAGGACACUCAUGCCUGUUUCUGAGAUGUUUCCUGUGUGAGGGGACAUAGUGACUAUUGGAGGGGUGACAUGUUGGACUUGGGUAGGGUGAAGAGGAUUGGAAACCACCAUCAUGUUUGGCAGCAUUGAAUGUUUAUGACUAUUUGAAUAGUUGUGACAAGGGUACAGUGAAGGAGGAAGUAACCAUUUUUGAAUACCCUUUUACAAUUUGCAAAGCACUUUUAAAGGUAAGAGUGAGUUCCUAGACCAUAUUAGGGUGAGAAUGGACAUUGUUGGCUGCCAUAUCAUUGGGCAGGGGCUUUGAGAUUUUUGUCUUCAGAAGGCAGAUUAGAUUUGGAGUAGAAGGAGAAAUGUAAAGACCUGGUAUCUGAGUGUGUUUGCAGAGGGGAAUUGUCGUUUGGAAGCACAAGAAAGGGAAUGGCCCGUUGGCACAUAUGGUACAUUGUGUUUUCAUAUAAUUAUACCUGAAUGAAAGCAAGAGGAAACGUGUAGGAAGCUGUUUACAUAGUCCUUUUAAUAAUGUUUACAUGAGUUAAUGAACAUGCAAACGUAUCUGAUGAAAACAUGUCAGUAGUGAAACAGCCUUGUGAAGAAUCAGAUCUUACCUCAGGCUGGAAAAAAGGACUGGUUUUCCAAGCUCACAAAUUGCAGCCAGUGUGAAUAGUAGCACAAAUGACUGAGCUUUAAGACAUCCAUCCAUCCAUCUAUCCAUCCCCUCAUCCAUCCAUCCCCUCAUCCAUCCACCCAUCCAUCCAUCCCUUCAUCCAUCACUCCAUCCAGCCAUCCGUCCCUUCAUCAAUCCAUCCAUCCCUUCAUCCAUCCAUCCAUCCUUCCUUCCAUUCAUCCCUUCAUCCAUCCGUCCAUCCAUCCAUCCAUCCACUCAUUCAUCCCUUCAUCCAUCCAUCCAUCCAUCCUUCCUUCCUUCCAUUCAUCCCUUCAUCCAUCCGUCCAUCCAUCCAUCCACCCAUUCAUCCAUCCAUUCCUUCAUCAACUCAUCCCUUCAUCCAUCGUCUACCAUUCAUUCACCCCUUCAUCCAUCCAUUCAUUUAUCCAUCCGUCCAUUUACUUCCAUCCAUCCCUUUAUCCAUCCAUUCACCCAUUCAUCCCUUUAUCCAUAUGUCCAUUCCUCCAUCCAUCCAUCCAUCCAUUUACUCUUCAUCCCUUCAUCCAUUUUUCCAUCCAUUCAUCCAUUCAUCUUUUCAUCCAUCCAUCCAUUGAUCUAUCCAUCCAUCCAUUGCUCCAUCCAACCAUCCAUCCAUCCCUUCGUCCCUUCAUCCAUCCAUCCAUUCAUCCCAUCAUCCAUUGAUCACUUCAUCCAUCCAUCCUUCCAUCCUUCCAUCCAUUCUUCCAUUCAUCCAUCCAUGUGUUCAGCAAGUAUUUACUGAAUGCCUAUUAUGUGCCAAGCACUCUCCUCAGAACUUAGGAAAUACCAGGAAACAAAAUCAACAACAAUCCCUCACCACCUGGAUAUUACAUUUUGGUGGGAAGAGACAAAGAAAUAAAAUUGGUGAGUGAAUCACAUAGGUUAUUAGAAGGUGAUAAAGGUGUAGGUGAUAAAGGAGAAGUGCCAGGAGCAAGGAUUGGGUACAGUUGUGAAUAAGGUGGCCCCAAUAGGUUGCACUGAGAAGGUGACAUUUGCACAGAGACUUGAAGAAAGGAAGGAGAGAACAUGACUGUACCUGGGUAACAGCAUUUGUGGAAGAGGGAACAGCCAGUGUAAAAGUUCCAAGGCAUGAGUGCCUGGUACAUACAUGGAACAUCGAGGCCAGGGUGGCAGAAACGCGGUGAGUCCAGGAAGGGAAUAGGAACUAAGUGUAGGAAGGUGUACAGUGGGGUGGUGUGGGGGUGGAAUUGUGGCAGCCAGAUGGUGUUGGCCUAAGGCCUCUUGGCCCUUGUUAGGACUUGGUUUACCAUGGCGCAACACAUCCAUGAGAUUGGCAAAAAUUAAAAAGUCUGACAACAGAAAAUCUGGUAAUCUGGUGAGGAUGUGGAGCAGUGGGAAUUCUCCAAUACUGCCAGGGAGCAUGGGCAUCAAUCCCACCACACUGGAAUGCAAAGGGGCAUUCUGAGUAGAACUGAAGAUGUGCCCAUCCUUGACCCCACAGUUCCAGCCAUGGGCAUGCGCAUGAAUGUGCACACGUGUUGACUGCGGCAUUUGUUUGUCAUUAUGAAAACAUCUAAGUUUCCAUCUAUGGGAGAGGGGAUAAUGUGGGAGUGCCCAACAGUGGAGUUCUAGAGAGCAGUAAAAAUAAAUGGACUAGAGCUGCACACGUCAAAAUGGAUGAAGAUAAAAGACAUAAGGAUGGAAGAAGACCACCUGGCCACAGAAGUAUAUGUCCAAUAUGAUGCUGGUGUAUCCAGAGUGUUCAAACAAACAACACAACACUACUCAUUGUUUCCAACGUGAGUAUGAAAGUAUGGAGCAGUGCGGAGGGCCAGGAGUGCUGAAUCCACAUGGUUACUUCUCCAGGCGGGGGCCGAGGACCAGGGCUGGAGGUUUACUCCAGGAGCUUCAGUGGUGCAUGCUGAAUGUGCUGUUUCUUGGGCUGGGGGACAGAGAUGUGCAUGCUGUUAUACACUCUAUAUUGAAAUGAUUGUAUAACAAUAUACUAAUUUAUCAUGUAAUAAAUUUGACCAGAAAGAAACAACUGUUCUGUGGCUGCUUCCAUGACUGGAUUUCACGUUGUAGGUUUCUAAGCAGAGAGUCCAAGGAAAACCAAAGGAGCGGCGGAAGGAUAAGCCUCCCGGGUGUUCUGGGAGUGUCCCUUUGCUUGGG